GUAUCCUGGCUCAGGAUGAACGCUGGCGGCGUGCCUAACACAUGCAAGUCGAACGGAGGCUGCCUUGAUGAAGUUUUCGGAUGGAUUUAAAGCAGCUUAGUGGCGGACGGGUGAGUAACGCGUGGGUAACCUGCCUCACACUGGGGGAUAACAGUUAGAAAUAGCUGCUAAUACCGCAUAAGCGCACGGUUCCGCAUGGAACAGUGUGAAAACUCCGUUGGUGUGAGAUGGACCCGCGU
rnacentral:rRNA from 1 species